rnacentral:rRNA from 2 species
CUUGACCUCAAAUCAGGUA